rnacentral:rRNA from 1 species
UUACGCCUUCAUGAAGCUGGAAUUGCUAGUAAUGGCAGGUCAGCAUACUGCCGUGAAUACGUUCCCGGGCCUUGUACACACCGCCCGUCACACCAUGAGAGUUGGGAAUACCCGAAGCCUGUGAGCUAACAUAUGAGGCAGCAGUCGAAGGUAGAAUCAAUGAUUGGGGUGAAGUCGUAACAAGGUAUC